AUAUCUUAUUUAUCAAAAAUUUCAUAUGAUAUUAUCUAUUUUUAUAGAAGAUUUCUAUCAGGUAUAGGCAGUGUAUUAAAAUAUUUUAAUGCAUUAACUGCACAAGAAUCUUCUAAAUUAUACAAAGGAUGAAUUAUUUUUACUAAAUUUAUGUUAGAUGAUCCAAUAAUCAAUGGCCAUGGAGAAUUUUGUGCAAUUGACAAUCCACUAAGUGCAUAACAUGCUUGUCCACAAGACUACCAUAAGGAUGUUGACAGCAAAUUAAUAAAUAUUCUUGUAAGGCCUCUUGAUUAAACAACCAAUAUGCGGAAUUGAACACUUUGUUUUCCAUAGUUAAAAUUGUAUGAAUUAAUGGAAAAGCUCCACCUUGCCAGAAUGAAUAACAACCAUCUACUAACUUCUCUGUGCGUCCUUGGAAUCCACCUUCUAAGCGCAUUUGUUUAUUUACUAUCCAUCUCUGAAAAUAAAUAUAUAUAAAUAGUGGAACUCUUUAAUAUAAUAUUUAUUAUAAUAA